rnacentral:ncRNA from 2 species
UAGCUAUCGAGAGUGACGGUUAGGGAAUUGGCCCGAUGAUCCGUCCGGCAACCUUAGGUCUUUUCUUAAGGUGCCAAAGCCAAAAAGCGAUAGGUC